CUCAACCUCCUGACCUCAAAUGAUCUGUCUGCCUUGGCCUCAAAAGCUUUGGGAUUGCAGGUGUGAGCCAUGGUGCCAGGCAGACCACUUCAUUAACCAGAUGAGGAAACGGAGGCUGAGAGGUGGAGUGGUUUGCCCAAUGCAACCUGGUGAAUUGGAGGAAAGGAUGUCUAAGUGCAUAGAAAUGGAAGCAGGUUGGAAAUUAAAUACCACGCCCACCUCGGGAUAUAUUUUAGCACCGGUGUUUUUCUCUUUCCCAGGGCAUUCUCCAAUAAGCAUUUGCUGUGUCCCCCGGCACCCGCUUCUCCUGUCCUGACCUUCCUGCAGAUGCAGUUUGGAGACCGCUCAGGUUCCCGGGUCACUGAUGAGCAUCCCUGCAGGCCUCCCACUGUCCUCCACUUGGUGGCCAACUCCAGCCCUCCUCCCUAGCUUGGCUUUUUCCAUGAGUCAUUUUUAAAUCUUUGUAUAAGGCCUAUUUGGAUAAAAACAGGAAGGCAGGCAAGCCAGCCAGCCCUGGAGGCCAUCCCUGGGCUCUUAGGAGAUGAAAGUCUGCAAACACGAUCCCAGGUGUCUGUGCGCCAUCUGCCCCCGCACCCCCCAGCUGCUGACCAGGAGGACCUUGGAAUCUGAUGAAUCCGGGACUGUUUGAAUGUUGGAAAUUCCCCAUUGCCCCUUUCUCUAGAUCUUUUUAGGCCACACAAAUAGCAAGCUAUUUCCAAGUGUCACUCUCGGAAUAGAUUCCUUCUAGUCUGGGGUGGCAGGGAGGGGGUGGAAUAAGAGGUAAGCCUCCUGGUGCUCCAGAAGCCCCCUCUGUGGGCCCAGCAGGCCACCUUAACAUCUCCAAAACCUGUGGUUCUUGCAGGACAUGCCCUUUGCUUCGUAUUCUCCUGGGCUCACUGUGCAUAACCAAGUGUGCAAUUCUCCAGUUCUCCCAAAUGCAUGUCCUCCCUUGCAGGCAGCAUUUUUCAGAGGACACAAGGCAGCUGCUUCCUUAAGGAUCACCUGGGAUCACAUUCAGACUGGAGAUGUUGCCAGAAGCAAAUCCACCUCUGUGUGGACUCUGGUUGACCCAGGAGUUCCUCUACUCCUGAGGGAACUGCUGAGGGGCUUGGGCCGUGACUCCAGGACCAAGGGUUUUGGGGAGGGACUUUCCUUCCCUGGCCAAGGAAAAGGAAAUGGGGCUACCCACGGCUACUCUGGGAGGCUAGAGGCUCCUUUGUCUACCGGGCACCCUUUCCAAGGCUCUGUUCUCAGGGCUUCUCGAAACACCCACUUUAAUCAGAGUUCAGCUGGAUUUGAAGGUUGACAUGAUUAGAUGUGUCAAAAAAUGUUAAAGUCGAAUAACACCCAAUGCUGUCAAGAAUGUGGAGAAAAGGAGACAGGUAUGCAUUGUUGAUGUGAGUGUCAAUUGGUAACCAAUUUGGAGGGAGUUUGCUAGUCUCUAUUAGAAUGUGAAAUAGAUAUGCUCUCAGACUCAGCAAUUCCACUUCUAAGAGUCAAUUCUACAGAAAUAUGUGCCCAUGGACACAAAGAAUUGGGCAUGAAGAUGUUUGCAGAAAUGUUGUUUGCAACUGCAAAAUAAUUAAAAAGCCACCAAAUCGAAAAACCAAACACCUGGCAUUUGUCCCCAGCUUUACUGAGAUUUAAUGACAAGCCUCGGAUUUAGACACUGUGACAGUACUGGGGUAGGGUAUGCUUUGCCAUCACUAAAAAGAAUGACAUAAACCUACAGAUGCUGACUUUGAAGGACCUCAAAAUGGGACUUUUAAUGAAAAAAAAUAAAGGAUACAAUUAUG